UACAGAGGGUGCAAGCGUUAAUCGGAAUUACUGGGCGUAAAGCGUGCGUAGACGGUUGCGUAGUCAGAUGUGAAAGCCCCGGGCUCAACCUGGGAAUUGCAUUUGAGACUGCGUAGCUAGGGUGCGGAAGAGGGAAGCGGAAUUUCCGGUGUAGCGGUGAAAUGCGUAGAUAUCGGAAGGAACACCAGUGGCGAAAGCGGCUUCCUGGUCCAGCACCGACGUUCAGGCACGAAAGCGUGGGGAGCAAACAGG
rnacentral:rRNA from 1 species